AAAAAACCUUGCCCCAGAUCCUGUUAGCACCAACCCCAUUGAAGAAGAAAUCUGCGGCUCCAGCCUCCUGUUUUCUUUGGACCUGUCUGAUCAGUCAUGCCGAGCCCUUCAGAGAGACCAGGAAUGCUGAGACUCUAAGCUGUGUGAGGCUCUGUGUGAGGGAGUCUCACCACUUCGAGGGGCCUUGGAGAAAUCACCAAUAUUCCAGCAAUGGAGAGGCGGCUUCAUCUCAGGAGGGCAGAACUACAUUCCUCCAGGUCUGAAGAGCGGCAGAUGUGAAGGGAGGAUGGAGGACAGAGAAGAAAGACAGAAAGGGCAGAUUGGAGAUAAGGAGGCUCCCAGAGCAGAGGGACCCACCAUUGGUCCCAGAAGAGCCUUGGUCUGUGAAAGAGGAUAUUAAAGUGCCCCUGGAAAAUGUGGCUGGCUGUCUCAUGUGUCCUCUGUAUUCAAGCACAUGUUUUUACUCUAAUCCUCAUUUUAACAUGUGCAAACAAUAAACAAAUAACA